UGGGGAAUAUUGCACAAUGGGCGCAAGCCUGAUGCAGCCAUGCCGCGUGUGUGAAGAAGGCCUUCGGGUUGUAAAGCACUUUCAGUCGUGAGGAAGGUAGUGUAGUUAAUAGCUGCAUUAUUUGACGUUAGCGACAGAAGAAGCACCGGCUAACUCCGUGCCAGCAGCCGCGGUAAUACGGAGGGUGCGAGCGUUAAUCGGAAUUACUGGGCGUAAAGCGCAUGCAGGUGGUUUGUUAAGUCAGAUGUGAAAGCCCGGGGCUCAACCUCGGAAUAGCAUUUGAAACUGGCAGACUAGAGUACUGUAGAGGGGGGUAGAAGUUUCAGGUGUAGCGGUGAAAUGCGUAGAGAUCUGAAGGAAUACCGGUGGCGAAGGCGGCCCCCUGGACAGAUACUGACACUCAGAUGCGAAAAGCGUGGGGAGCAAACAGGAUUAGAUACCCUGGUAGUCCACGCCGUAAACGAUGUCUACUUGGAGGUUGUGGCCUUGAGCCGUGGCUUUCGGAGCUAACGCGUUAAGUAGACCGCCUGGGAGUACGGUCGC
rnacentral:rRNA from 1 species